GUCCUCCAUGAUGUGAACUCUCAGGAAGAGGAGCUCCGACACCAUCUCCACCCCAUCCCCAUUGAUGUAGCACUGGAAAACUGCUCUGCCUGCCGGGCCAGCGUGCCACUUUGCCUUGCUCAUACCACUAUGAGGACCAGAUGCAUAUUUUCCAGCUAUCCAUACAAUGGAGGAGUCCUCUCAAUGAGCUGCUGUGUCACUAUAUCAAACACAAAGCCUUUCAGAACUGCACGGCUGGCUACACAAUCAGCUACAGCCCAGGCAACAUCACGCUUACCAUCCUGCAGGUCAGACGGGAGGACUUUGGGACUCACAUUUGUUCAGUGAGCAAACGGCAUGAGUUCUCUGACUACAGCAUUGAGCUGGCCAGAAUGUCAGAGUCUGUUACUUCAGCACCAACGGGUGGAAUGAAUCAGUCAGGCCUGACCUGGAGACUAAUUAUUCUUCAUGCUUUGGCGUGCUUGUUGGUUUGCACAUAGAAGAGGAAAUUUAUAUAUUUAUAUACAUUAACAGACACAAACCUGUAAAUUUACAUAGAAUCUAAAUCCCACCUGUCCAGCAGAGACCUAAAUAAAAACUUUGCCAAAGG
ensembl:lncRNA